rfam:Gossypium raimondii Chr13_contig_120, whole genome shotgun sequence.
AAUAGGAGAAUGACAAAUCAGAUUUUUCUUCCUGAUUUUCAGAUUUUUCCUCUAAAAAAAUUCAAAUUGAACUAAAAAUACUAAAAUUUAGGAGGAAUAAAUAUGAUUUGUCAUUCUCCUAUU